GCCUUGUUUGCAAGCAAAAGAAUGCACAUGCAUGCGUCAUUGGACUGUCAUGAAUGUGCCUCAAAGACUGACACAGAAGAGAAGAAAUU